rnacentral:rRNA from 1 species
GUGGGUAGUUUGACUGGGGCGGUCUCCUCCUAAAGAGUAACGGAGGAGCACGAAGGUUGGCUAAUCCUGGUCGGACAUCAGGAGGUUAGUGCAAUGGCAUAAGCCAGCUUGACUGCGAGCGUGACGGCGCGAGCAGGUGCGAAAGCAGGUCAUAGUGAUCCGGUGGUUCUGAAUGGAAGGGCCAUCGCUCAACGGAUAAAAGGUACUCCGGGGAUAACAGGCUGAUACCGCCCAAGAGUUCAUAUCGACGGCGGUGUUUGGCACCUCGAUGUCGGCUCAUCACAUCCUGGGGCUGAAGUAGGUCCCAAGGGUAUGGCUGUUCGCCAUUUAAAGUGGUACGCGAGCUGGGUUUAGAACGUCGUGAGACAGUUCGGUCCCUAUCUGCCGUGGGCGCUGGAGAACUGAGGGGGGCUGCUCCUAGUACGAGAGGACCGGAGUGGACGCAUCACUGGUGUUCGGGUUGUCAUGCCAAUGGCACUGCCCGGUAGCUAAAUGCGGAAGAGAUAAGUGCUGAAAGCAUCUAAGCACGAAACUUGCCCCGAGAUGAGUUCUCCCUGAGACUUUAGGUCUCCUGAAGGAACGUUGAAGACGACGACGUUGAUAGGCCGGGUGU